GGCAGGGAGGCUGCGCGCUGCCGCUCCCCGCGCCGCCAUCUUUCCUGAGGGCAGCGGCCCGGGCGGGCUGGGCGCGCUCGGCGGAGCCGCCCCAGGAAAGGCUCCCAGCAGCUCUCCUCGCUGCCGAGUGCCAGAGGCGCGUUUCCUGCUGAGAAUGGCACGCUUUCAGGUGUUAGGGCCAGGCUGCCCAGCUCUUCGAGUCUGGUUUUGCUAAGGAAGCCUGUGGCUUAUCUUCUGGGGAGUGUUUAGGAACCAUUUUAAUGAAUUCCAAUUAAGAAUCUUUCUGACACCAGGGGAUGCAGAGGUCAAAGAAUGCCCUGAGCAGCACAGCAACAGACCAUGUGGAGCACAGAUAAAGCCCAGCACAGGUAACUUGUCAUACCAAUACUGCAGUGUUAACCGAGCUUGAUGGGAAUUCUCCAAUGAGUCUGAGGGAGUUAGCCAUUAUAUAGAUGAAGAUCCUGCAGGACUGAGAAAAGAUGGCAAAACAACCUUCUAAGGAGUUUGUGUGACCUGCCUAAGAUCAGUCAGAAAAUUAAUAUCAGAACUGUUAAGAGAAAUCUGAUCUUCGUAUAUGCCAUUCUUUGCUCUAAACUGCAUCCACUGAAAUUGGCCAU